rnacentral:lncRNA from 1 species
CUGCACCCAGCAUGGGGGUGGAGUGUGAAAGGGAAUUCCCUAUGGAAAUGCAGAGCUAAGAAUGCCAAACAAAAGUCAAAGUGUGCUAAGUUAUAUGUGCUCUCUUGCCCUCUUACUUUCUGCUCCAGUAGCAGCCUCUGCAUCUCUUGUACUAAAGCACCACUGAUGACACCAGGAGACUCUGGCUCCUUAUAUGACUUACAGAUUCAGAUGAAGCCCUGAAUUCCAGGAACUGAGAUCUGGUUUCCUCAGCAGCUGACUGGAAGCACUGGACAAAGAUUAACAUCCUUGGACAAGCUUUGAUCAAUGAGAGAUACGAGACAUGGGAAACUGGCAGAUAAAUUUCUUUCCCUUCUGAAACAUUAUAUCCCUUUUGCAAAACUGAAACCAGUGAAGAUCACAGUGAGCAAAGGAGUCAUGAGAUUUUCAUGCAGGAAAUAGAAUUUAAAAACUCACAGAAACUCCAAAACAAACCUGAUCUGAAGCAGAAAAAGAAAUUGUUUAUGGAAUUGUUAUCAAUGAGACUUAACAGAUCUUGUCAUAUAAUAAUUCAUGCAGAAAGGCAAGGGAUGCUUGCCUAGAUCCUGACAGUGGCAAAAUGUGUUUUAUGAUUACUGCAAUAGAACCUUC